GACGAACGCUGGCGGCGUGCUUAACACAUGCAAGUCGAACGGGAACCUUUAUUUCGGUAAAGGAGAGAGUGGCAAACGGGUGAGUAACACGUAGGCAACCUGCCGACAGGAUGGGGACAACAUUCCGAAAGGAAUGCUAAUACCGAAUGGAGUCCGAGGAUGGCAUCAUCCUUGGAUAAAAGAUGGCCUCUGAAUAUGCUAUCGCCUGUCGAUGGGCCUGCGUCUGAUUAGCCAGUUGGCGGGGUAACGGCCCACCAAAGCGACGACCAGUAGCCGGUCUGAGAGGAUGAACGGCCACAUUGGGACUGAGACACGGCCCAGACUCCUACGGGAGGCAGCAGUGGGGAAUCUUCCACAAUGGGCGAAAGCCUGAUGGAGCAACGCCGCGUGAGUGAAGAAGGUCUUCGGAUCGUAAAGCUCUGUUGCACGGGACGAAAACUGGGUUUGAAAACAUUGAAACCUGGGUGAC
rnacentral:rRNA from 1 species